rnacentral:rRNA from 1 species
GAGCCGAAACGAUGGAAGCUUGCUUCCAGGCGUCGAGCGGCGGACGGGUGAGUAAUGCAUAGGAAUCUGCCCGAUAGUGGGCGAUAACCUGCGGAAACUCAGGCUAAUACCGCAUACGUCCUACGGGAGAAAGCAGGGGAUCUUCGGACCUUGCGCUAUCGGAUGAGCCUAUGUCGGAUUAGCUAGUUGGUGAGGUAACGGCUCACCAAGGCGACGAUCCGUAGCUGGUCUGAGAGGAUGAUCAGCCACACUGGGACUGAGACACGGCCCAGACUCCUACGGGAGGCAGCAGUGGGGAAUAUUGGACAAUGGGGGAAACCCUGAUCCAGCCAUGCCGCGUGUGUGAAGAAGGCCUUCGGGUUGUAAAGCACUUUCAGCGAGGAAGAAGGCCUGAGGGCUAAUACCCUUCAGGAAGGACAUCACUCGCAGAAGAAGCACCGGCUAACUCCGUGCCAGCAGCCGCGGUAAUACGGAGGGUGCGAGCGUUAAUCGGAAUUACUGGGCGUAAAGCGCGCGUAGGUGGCUUGAUAAGCCGGUUGUGAAAGCCCCGGGCUCAACCUGGGAACGGCAUCCGGAACUGUCAGGCUAGAGUGCAGGAGAGGAAGGUAGAAUUCCCGGUGUAGCGGUGAAAUGCGUAGAGAUCGGGAGGAAUACCAGUGGCGAAGGCGGCCUUCUGGACUGACACUGACACUGAGGUGCGAAAGCGUGGGUAGCAAACAGGAUUAGAUACCCUGGUAGUCCACGCCGUAAACGAUGUCGACUAGCCGUUGGGGUCCUUGAGACCUUUGUGGCGCAGUUAACGCGAUAAGUCGACCGCCCUGGGAUA